UGCAUGGUUGUCGUCAGCUCGUGUCGUGAGAUGUUGGGUUAAGUCCCGCAACGAGCGCAACCCUUAAGCUUAGUUGCCAUCAUUAAGUUGGGCACUCUAAGUUGACUGCCGGUGACAAACCGGAGGAAGGUGGGGAUGACGUCAAAUCAUCAUGCCCCUUAUGAUUUGGGCUACACACGUGCUACAAUGGACAAUACAAAGGGCAGCGAAACCGCGAGGUCAAGCAAAUCCCAUAAAGUUGUUCUCAGUUCGGAUUGUAGUCUGCAACUCGACUACAUGAAGCUGGAAUCGCUAGUAAUCGUAGAUCAGCAUGCUACGGUGAAUACGUUCCCGGGUCUUGUACACACCGCCCGUCACACCACGAGAGUUUGUAACACCCGAAGCCGGUGGAGUAACCUUUUAGGAGCUAGCCGUCGAAGGUGGGACAAAUGAUUGGGGUGAAGUCGUAACAAGGUAGCCGUAUCGGAAGGUGCGGCUGGAUCAC
rnacentral:rRNA from 1 species